CUGGUUUUCAAAAUGAAAUUUAAGCUUGGAACUAAACAAAGUUUUAGAAUGCUCAAACAUUAAAACAAAUAAAUGUUCUGGUACAAAUAAAAUAAAAUAAAAAUAUUUCAGAUUCUGAGUUACUGAUCAAAUACGUUUGUGAUCACGUGACUGUGUACAGACGGUCAGAUCACGAUCAAUCACAUUUUAAUCAUGAUCGAUUUCUGCUUCUCUAAGCAUUAAUUGCAUUAAUUAAGCAUAAUCAUCCACAAUACUGGCCUGCAGGUUAUUUAUCCUGACAGUUUUUGUUGUUGUUUUUCCUAUUUGACAUUUCUGUUAUCUUGCAUCAGGAUCAAGUCUCUAUAAGCUUUUAUAAGGUUGGCAGAUGUUGCCAAAUGUGAAGAGUUCAAAUCCCCAAUCAGAGCUUUACUCUUAAAGGUGCAGUAGGAGAUCUUGGAAAAUGCUAACUUUAGCCUGAUAGCAUUGAAAGCGAACGUCCCACCCUCCCUGCAAAUCGCCGUCCAAAGCCACGCCCCCUGAAUGCAUAUACACUCACAGACCAUAUGACCAGAGACAACAUUACUACAAUACAUCAUGUGUCAUUCACUGGUGAGAAGACUUUAUAGCACACUUAGUAAAAGUACUACAAUACCAGGAAGGAAGAUCGGGUUGUUGAUGUUUGUCUGCCAUUCUCGCUCUGUCUGCACAGUGUGCAUGAACGCGCUGAUGACGUAUCGUGUCUGCGUGAAGAGGGUGCACAGAGGUGCGGUAUGGACUGAGACGGAGAGAUAUUCUGAAGAUGUCGGAUGGGGAGAGGAAAGAGAGAGACAGAUGCCAGGGUGUGUCAGUCCACACCAUGAGAUCCAAUCAAACUCAAUCACCCAGCUCUGACUAGUAAACAUGAAUACUCAGCCAAAUAAUUUAUGCAUCUAUGCCCACCUGAAUUUUUUUUAUCUGGUCCGCCUCAUUUUUACUCUGGACAAUACACACGAGGACGGCAGAAGAGCUCAGUUGAAGACUUUUUCUGGCUGAUGUAAUGCAGUCAUGAAUACUCUCUCUCUCUCUCUCUCUCUCUCUCUCUCUCUCUCUCUAUAUAUAUAUAUAUAUAUGGAAACUUUAAAUGUAUUAGAUAAGAUAUUACGGAUGCUAUUAAAAAUGGUUUAAAUCUUAUCAGAUGUCUGUCAGAAUGAUAUUUAAUUCACUGUAGUGACAAACUGUAUUUAAACUAAAUAUGGAGCGUUAGCCAUUCCAAAAUAUGUUUCUUUUCUUUUUAUUAUUUUUUUGUAUAUUGAUGUUAAUGUUAUGUAUACUGGUCUUGCUGUUCUUACAUAAUCAAAAAUUAAAACCUUAUAAAAUGUAUAUAAAAAAAUUAACAUAUUUAAUUUGACCUCUAAAGAUACUGUACAUGUAAUUGAAUGCAUGAUAAAACAUCCAUUCACCCAUUUUAUCAUCCACCAGUCAAAAAAAAUAAAAUAAAAUGAAUUUGUCUAGAAAGAUAAGCACAUGUACAUAUAAUUUGAGGUAUCAUUCAAGUCCACACAUUUAAAACAAACUCCUGAAACAGCAAUACCACACAAGAACCACCUUAUUAAAAACAUCAAUUCAUGCCAAACAUUUUAUUCAACAUUCAGUUGCAGUACAAAAAUGCCAUAAAAUAAGCAGUAAAAACUGAAUAUUAUAGUGUAUUUUACCUUGUCCUUAUUGCCUAUGGCAUGCAUGUGAAGUGCUUUUUGCAGAGCUGGUCAACAGGGAAAAUAAAACGUUAUGAGUAUUUGUGAGGCAGGCCAUAUAUCACUAGUCUGGUAAGAUGACGCUGCACACGUACAGACACAAAGAGUGUGUAGUACACCGACACACAAGAAUGCACAAAAAUGAAAAACUGUCAUGUAGAAAACAAAAGCAACAUAUAAACACAGCAAGCAUUGUCUUUUUAGUGCACUGUAAUGGUUUUAAUGCGCUAAAUUCAUUUGACUUAUAAGACACUGUAUAAAAGCACCAAAACAGACAACUGCAAGGUGAGUUGCAAGGUCUGUUUGUGAGCGUUUUUACAUGUCGCAAGGGGUGCCAGGGAUUCGUCCUUUGCCUGAGCUGUCAGCAAAGGUAAGGGACAUUCAGAAAGUAUUAAAGACAUUCAUCAUCAAUGGAAAAAUGCACAAAGAAUUUAAGAUCAUCUUAAAUGAGGGCUAUGAAUCAAUCUUUAAAGCAAACCUUUAGAAGAAGACUCCAAGUGAUAUCUAAAAAGCCGCCGUGUUUUUUUAUUUCUUUUUUUUCUUUUUCAGAAACACAAACACACACUGUCCAAUUGAACUCUUUUUGUGAAGGGCACACUUGCUCUUUAGGGUGGAAGAUGAAAGACAGAGCGUGUGUUUUGGCCAGCUCUCUUGACAAUGUGUGAUGUUAUUGCAUGUCACUUAUCAAAACUAAACUGAGACAGACCAAAGGGCUCCAGUAAAUAGACCGUCUCCUAGCAACAUCUUGACUGAUGACUUUUCUUCUCUCACUGGUUCACUCAGUCAGACUCUACUGAAUGGCAACUUACUCCUCAUGUGUCUCCUGUUUUAAGACAGAAGAGAUGUGUCCAUCCACAAUGAAAGCGAAAAUGUUCUGACAUGACUCAAUUACAGCCAAUCAGAACAUUUUUGAUGAUUUUUGAACCAAGAGAAAUUAGAGAUGCAAGGGAACCACAUCCCCAUAAAGCACUGCAAAUGACAAUCAAAAAAUAAAUAAAAAAUAAUGUAGGAAUAUAAAACUAUUGAUUUAUUGAUUUAGAUUUUAUAUAUAGAAACAAUGGGUCUCAUUCAUGAAACAUUCGUAAAUAUAGGAAUAAAUUCUGAGUAGGCUAAUUUGCACAUAAAACGGACCUUCCCGAAAACUCUCCUCCAGAUUCACAAACGCUUCGUAAACUUCCGAUUUGAUAGUUAAACAUGUGUAUGUUAAUGAAUUCCAGUCAUUCGUAAAUGGGCACUCAUGCACUCUCAUUCACAAUUAGCAUAAUCCCUGUUUAUGAAUUACAGCUACGCAAAUGGAAUAUUCUAAAAACGGCCAGGUGAGACGCUUUGGUUGAUAUGAUUAGGAAAACCCGGCAGUAACGUAUUAUUAGUAUCUCAUUGUGCAGAAUAUUACUAAAUAUAAAAAUGCAGUAACCAGCCAUAUUAAAGGCACAAUACGUAAGAUUUUAUUUAUUAAAAUAUCCAAAAACUGCUUGAACAGUGACGUCAUAACCCCUCGAUUCCCGGUUUUGUUCUGUAGAAAACAUAUAGAAACACCAAAGACGCUUUAAUAUGUUACACGUUUUAAUAGACCAGUGACGACCGCACAGAGUAGCAUUAUAACAGAACUUUCACACAUAUCUAGUAUGAUAAAACAGUGCUGCUUUUUUCCCCCACAUUCGCACAACCGGAAGGAGCGGAAGCGGUUGACUGUGACAUAAUAAAAGCUCAGCUGCUUUCGAGCCGUGUGUCACGCUCGUUCAGAGGCCUCGUUUAGCUUCAACGGCUUUCAGCCUCACCCUGUUUCAUUCCACUACAUUAAUAAAUCAUUAGCUCAUCCAUGAACAUGAUUUCUGCCCGAGUCGUGUCGGAUUGCAUCGUCUGUGGGGAUGAAGACCACAUCUCCCGUGAUUCCACACUCAGUCACAGCAUCAUCAAACUACGCUACCUGGUCUUUGUUUAUUUUGAAUAUGCGCCCUCUAGUGGACUUUUAAAAUAUUAUAAUGGCAGUGCAGUGUCAUCAGUUUGCCAAAAAGAACACAGGAUGUUUUACGCA
ensembl:lncRNA